rnacentral:lncRNA from 1 species
UUUAGGGCUCGACAUCGUACGGAACCCACAUCCAAUGCUAUAUCUGGCUCCAUCCUCCUUCUAGGACGAGCAGGUCCUCUCCUUGGAGGUAUUCUUUAUAUGUCUGUAAAAGAAUCAAAGAGAGAGGGCAGUUAUUACACACUGAGUCAUAAUACAUUCCACUAAAUUGUAAAUGACUCAUAAAAUAACAUACAGAAAAACCCUAUGCUCCAUAGUAUAAUCCUAUACUUAAUCCUGACUCACCCUAUUACUUUGACAGGACUCUUCUUAACCUUUUCUCUGAUACCACCUUCUGUCACGACCCCCACCCUCUUCUGGCAGGCCGCCGUGACGGUCCUAGGGUGCGGGUAGGCAUAAGGCCACCAGCUACCACGUAGAACCCUACUACCUAUCAAUCAUCAAUAAAUCCUAAAAAUUUUGGCAUGAUGCAUGCACAAAAUGAUCACCUUUCCUAUAUUGAUCUGUCAGGAUUAUCUCAAUACAUACAACAACACUACAUGUCAGAGCAACAAUCACAUAAUCUGUCACAUAAUAAACAUGGACAAUAUAUAGCAAUAUAUUAUCACAGGCACACAACUGAUCUGCACAUAUAUAUAUAUAUAUGCUUCCCAAUCCAUCCAUGGUCAACCCGUAUCCACAACAGGAUCUAUGACUAUAACUAUACACUAUAUACAACAGAAGGUUUAUAAUACAAUACACCAAAAUGUAUAAACCUCUAUAUGCAUUAUACUAUGGAGCGGCACAGCAAGCAAGCAAUCUCUAACCCUGCUCCUCUCUAUACAACACCUGUCCUGCAAUCAAAAACACCAAACUAGGGGGUGAGUAUAUAAAUACUCAGUGAGUGGAGUAGAGAGUACUAUGCACAUAAGACAAGAUAUAAUCAUGGCUUGAGGUGAAAUCUCAAGAGCAUAUGAGCAGUCAUCAAUAACAGGAUGCACACAACUCAACAUGAAGAAAUAUGGAGUAAAUCAUUAUAGUAUCACCACAAUCACAAUCAACUCAUCAGGAGCAUAUAUAGAAUAAUCAAAUAAACAUGAAUGAUACAUCAUGAAUAUGCUCAAUAG